CCGUCGCUCCUACCGAUUGAAUGGUCCGGUGAAGUUUUCGGAUCGCGGCGACGCCGGCGKUUCGCCGCCGGUGACGUUGUGAGAAGUUCAUUAAACCUUAUCAUUUAGAGGAAGGAGAAGUCGUAACAAGGUUUCCGUAGGUGAACCUGCGGAAGGAUCAUUG
rnacentral:rRNA from 1 species